rnacentral:rRNA from 1 species
GAACCGUACGAACGUUAUUCGGAAUCACUGGGCUUAAAGGGUGCGUAGGCGGCCCGGUCAGUUGGGUGUGAAAUCCCUCGGCUCAACCGAGGAACUGCGCUCAAUACUGCCGGACUUGAGGGAGAUAGAGGUGAGCGGAACUGAUGGUGGAGCGGUGAAGUGCGUUGAUAUCAUCAGGAACACCUGUAGCGAAAGCGGCUCACUGGGUCUCUUCUGACGCUCAUGCACGAAAGCCAGGGGGGAGCGAGCGGGAUUAGAUACCCCGGUAGUCCUGGCUGUAAACGAUGAGCACUUGAUCGAAGGCCCUUCCACAGGCUUUCGGUCGUAGCGAAAGUGUUAAGUGCUCCGCCUGGGAGUAUGGUCGCAAGGCUG